rnacentral:lncRNA from 1 species
AGAGAUAAACCAUAAGUUUAAGAGCAGUAGACUUAUAUCCUUAUACAUAAAUGCUACAAGGCAAAGAAUUUUUAACAUCCAAAGAGAAAAUAAAGAAAAGGGAAAUUUAUAUGAUAACAGAUAGAUGCUAACCAUUUACUCUUCGUCUCCCUCACCAAAUCGCAGGACAAGAUUACAGAGAGCUUGUGUAGUUGGUUAGGGUUGAAAUUUGACAAAGGGGUCAGCUUGUUUAGUUGUUUUGUGGUUAGUUCUCUUGUAAUUUGUGUGAGAGAGUAAAGGGAACAGAAGAAGAGAAAAAGUCGCCUGCUGUCGCCGGUCCGAUUGAAGUGUCGGAGGCGGAUCAAUCGAUCGUAGGAGUAGGAAGGAGAAG